AGUGCGGUGUCAUUUGAGUAACACCAAUAUGGCAAAGUAGCAAUUAGGCCCCUCUUCUAAAACGUCAGACCUGAGCCUGCUAAUCCUAAAGACUGAAGAGGGGCUUUUUUUAUAAAUCAAGGUCUCGAUAUUCCAACAUUUGUUGAUGAGUAUUUUCUAUUCGAACCCUAACCUCACACUGUUAAUUAAAGAUAAAAGUCUGUAUUAAGUAAGGGUCACCCCCAAACAAGUCGCGAAAUAUAUUUAGGAAGGGCUCCCAUCGUAUUGUCAAAUCUGUCCGGUACUUUGGGUUUUUUUUCCCCCAAACACGUUUGAAAGGUAGCAACCACCACAAAAGCCCACCGAGGGAAGCAGAGUAUAUCUGGCAAAUCUGGAGGCUUCUGACACUGCUCAGCACUUUAAAGUCGUUUAUUAAGAGAAUGCAGACGGGCCUUGCUCAUUUUGUUAAUGGCAAACUAGAAACUCCGUUAUGGCUUCUCUGGAUUCUCUUGCGGAAUCUUAUAAUCCCCUCUUUUCGGCCAGAGCUGGUGAUUUAAGUGUCCCUCCCCUUCCCAACCGCGGAAAGGCAGCAUUUAUUCGCCCCACUUUAAAUCCUCGUGGAAGGGAUUGUGUGCGGUUCAUCCUGCGUGAGACGCCCCGAGGAAAGCGCAGCAGCCCUCGAUGUGAAGAGACCGGCUCGCCCGCCGCAGAGCGAGGACCUCCUGAGAAAAUAGGAGAAAGUUCGACUCCUCUGAAAUUAUUCAAAGUCCUCAUUUCUUUGCCUACAGAACCUUUUUUUUUUUUUAUUUCGGUGCUUCUUAAACCGCGUUCUCGAUUGCUCCAGAACCUGCAUGGUUUUCACAGGCUUUUUAUUUCCGUCCCCAUCGCCAGCAGAUGCAGGGUUUGGGUCAAGACUGCUGCCCUCUGAACUAAAAGGCAGUAGGAUGGAGCCAUCGACUACCAAGAUCUUCGGGCCUCUCCAACAUCGCGACCCUUGCCUCUUCAUCAGAAAAUAGCAGUGUGCGUUCGUUCCCUUUGCUUCCUGUUAGCCGCUGCUGCAUGGGAAGAGAAGGGCUCCGCGGCAGCCGAGUGAGGCUACGGUUCUCAGAACAGUAUUUUCGUGUUAAAUCGGCUCCAGAGCGUGGCUGGGGAGCCCCAGGGCAGCUGUCCCGUGCAGGCCGCGCCUCUGCUUCCCACCGCCCGGUCGCUGGCCUGUGAGCUGCGCCCCCUGCACCUGCACCUGCACCCCGUGCACCCCGUGCACCUGCACCCCCUGCAGCCGGCACCCCCUGCACCUGCACCCCCUGCACCUGCACCUGGACCUGGUGCAGAGGAGCUGCGCCGCCGGGAACCCCAUGUCUCCGGCUCGCUCAGGAGCCACCUGAAGAGAAGCCGCCGAAGCCGAGCGGCCCGCUGAGGCCGAGGGGGCAGGCGGGGAGGCCACCCCCCCCACCCGGGCCCCGCGCCCCGC